AGAACGAACGCUGGCGGCAGGCUUAACACAUGCAAGUCGAACGCGUGUAGCAAUACACGAGUGGCGCACGGGUGAGUAACGCGUGGAUAUCUGCCUUUUGGUUCGGAAUAACCCCGGGAAACUGGGGCUAAUACCGGAUGGUUCCUACGGGAUAAAGAUUUAUCGCCAAAAGAUGAGUCCGCGUCCGAUUAGCUAGUUGGUGGGGUAAUGGCCUACCAAGGCGACGAUCGGUAGCUGGUCUGAGAGGACGAUCAGCCACACUGGGACUGAGACACGGCCCAGACUCCUACGGGAGGCAGCAGUGGGGAAUAUUGGACAAUGGGGGCAACCCUGAUCCAGCCAUGCCGCGUGAGUGAUGAAGGCCUUCGGGUUGUAAAGCUCUUUUGGCGGGGACGAUGAUGACGGUACCCGCAGAAUAAGCCCCGGCUAACUUCGCGUCAGCAGCCGC
rnacentral:rRNA from 1 species